rnacentral:rRNA from 1 species
AUUGAACGCUGGCGGCAGGCCUAACACAUGCAAGUCGAACGAGUGGCGGACGGGUGAGUAAUGUCUGGGAAACUGCCUGAUGGAGGGGGAUAACUACGGGAAACGGUAGCUAAUACCGCAUACCAUCGGAUGUGCACAGAUGGGAUUAGCUUGUUGGUGGGGUAACGGCUCACCAAGGCGACGAUCCCUAGCUGGUCUGAGAGGAUGACCAGCCACACUGUAACUGAGACACGGUCCAGAUUCCUACGGGAGGAAGCAGUGGGGAAUAUUGCACAAUGGGCGCAAGCCUGAUGCACCCAUGCCGCGUGUAUGAAGAAGGCUGUCGGGUUGUAAAGCACUUUUAGCGGGGAGGCGUUACCCGCAGAAGAAUCACCGGCUAACUCCGUGCCAGCAGCUGCGGUAAUUC